rnacentral:rRNA from 1 species
UGAACAGUUACCUACCGGUACGGGGAGGCAGCGAGGUAGGGGGUAAUAUGCGACAAGUAGGACGAAGUCUGACGCAGCGACGCCGCGUGGAGGAUGAAGGUUUUCGGAUCGUAAACUCCUGUCAAGAGGGAAGAAACCUAUUAUGAAUAAUACUCAUAGUAAUUGACGGUACCUCUAGAGGAAGCACCGGCUAAUUCAGUGCCAGCAGCCGCGGUAAUACUGAAGGUGCAAGCGUUAAUCGGAAUCACUGGGCGUAAAGCGCUCGUAGGUGGCUUUGUAAGUCAGGUGUGAAAGCCCACGGCUCAACCGUGGAAUUGCACUUGAUACUGCAUCGCUAGAGUAUAGGAGAGGGAAGUGGAAUUUCUGGUGUAGGAGUGAAAUCCGUAGAGAUCAGAAGGAACACCCGUGGCGAAGGCGACUUCCUGGACUAUUACUGACACUGAGGAGCGAAAGCGUGGGGAGCAAACAGGAUUAGAUACCCUGGUAG